rnacentral:lncRNA from 1 species
GCAAGGAGGAAAAAGGGAGUCUGGAGGGUGAUGGUGUCACUUGGCACAGUCCAUUGUGGUGGAGACCAGGCCGGGAUAAAGUUUCCCGGAAAGAAACGCCGGAGCGCAAGCGCGGAGCCGGGAGCGGCAGCGGCGGAGCCCGGGGAGCAGCGGUGGCGGGCUCGGAGGUGAGCGGGGAACGGGGGCCUCGCCGGUCGCUGCCUCAGCACGGGGAUCGGUGUCCCGGCACAGGGAUCGCUGUCCCGGCACAGGGAUCGGUGUCCCGGCACAGGGAUGGGUGUCCCGGUACAGGGAUGGGUGUCCCGGCACAGGGAUCGGUGUCCCGGCACAGGGAUGGGUGUCCCGGUACAGGGAUGGCAGUCCCGGCACGGGGAUCGCUGUCCCGGCACAGGGAUGGCUGUCCCGGCACAGGGAUCGGUGUCCCGGCACAGGGAUGGCUGUCCCGGCACAGGGAUCGCUGUCCCGGGACACAGGGAUCUCUGUCCCCUCCCGGGACACGGAGCGGGAAGGCGGCAGCAGCGGGAGCUGCGGACAGGGGACACCGGAGCCGCCUCGGCCGAGCGGGGCCCGGGGCGUCGCUCUGGGGCGGAUUCCGGAGGGGCCAAAAUGAACAUUUUGGGACACAAUCUGAGUUAAUGUGCAGGGGAGAGAAUGCACAGCUUGGGCAAAGAACUUCCCAAACUGCCUCCUCACCCUCAUGGACUGCAGGAGUGUCUUCCAUAGCUCCUGUUCAGGAAUGGCAGUGGCUGUGGGGAGCUCUGGCGGGAGCAGCUGGAGACCAGGUAAUGACCCCCAGUGACUGGAAGGACCAGACUGGGCUCCCAGGGCACUAAUUCCAGGUGUUCUGGUUUUGGGAAUAGCACAGGAGCAGCAGACUGCCUUCCUUAGUCCACAAAUCCCCAGGAUGGACCACAGAGAAAAUAACAGGAAUGUGGAAAUCCCCCGCACAGGGAGUUUGUGGUGCUCUGGAUUACAUUUUGGAUUUACAAUAUUAAAGGGGGGGAGGUGUAGGGUUUAUUUCUCUUUCUCCUGUUCGUUGUUGUUCUCAGUGUUCUUGUUGCUCUCACUGUCAUUAUGUGUUGUCAUUAAUAUUAAAUGAUUGUAUUUGACUGGUUUCCAUUAUUAAAGUGUUGUGAGCUGGAU